GAUAACGCGCGCCAGCGAAGGCACCGUGGCGGGCGGGCGACGCGAAGCGAGAAUGACUGCGGCGGAACGUGAAGCGGGACGCCGUGUGAAGUGUGACACGCGGGGUCCGGUGGAAGUCAAACAGGGAGCAGACCAGGAACAAACUGGAACAACAAUGCUGCUAAUUACAUUUCAGAGCUUCUGCUACAGCUACUAGAACCGAUACAGGCUUCAUGCUACUAAGGGACUCAGUUUUAUUUAUGUUUUGAAGAAUGAAAAUUAAAAUUUUAUAAAAAUUUAUUAAUUAGAAAUAAUGACUCCAAAAAAAUCCAUUAUAUUUUAUAGCUUUAGGGUUAUUCAUUAUAAACUCUAAAACUCAAGAGCAACAGGUAAGCCCCCCCCCCCCCCGUCAAUGGACAAGUCCGUAGCGCACCUGCGGAAGGGAUUCAGGUGAAGAAUGACAGACCGUGACCGCAAAAACGAAGCGAGGAGAAGGAAGAGGAGGAGCGGGAGCAAAGUCAAAGCAGCCGAGCUGAUUCCCAGAAUGCCGCUGAUGGAGUACGAGGAGCCGGCCGUGUCGCUGGUCACUGCGGAGACCUGCGUGGCAGCUGCGGACGUGGCUGCAGACAGGUCACACGACAACACAGGCAGGAGGAUGAAUCACAUUCACGGUAAAUACUUAGACAGUUGCAGGCCUCAGGGUUCACGCGCAGCCCCGAGACAAUUGAGUGAGGAACAAAGCGCGAGACAGCGACCCAUUUUGCCCUGCUUGUCGCCUCGCGCUGCAACACUACGACCCUGACCUUCGGCUCGCGCCCUCGGCGCCAGAACAGAAGUGAUGGAGGGAAACACGAGGGGGACCCGGCUGUGAGCGUCAAGCGGUGAACAGCCUGCGAUGCAUCAGUUACGCUGUUACUGUAAAAAAAAGAAAAAUAGCAAUUAAUUUUAAAGUAGAAAUAAAGUGAAAUGGACCCGUAUUCUUACAGUAGAACCCCGUGCAGUCUAUGAAAUAUAAUCAUGUUCAGGACUUGUGGGCUUCCUCUUAUUAGAUCACUGGCAGAGUUGUAAACUCUCCAAGGUGCAAACAGUGGCGUUAAAGUCGAGCUCCUCGCUCUGCAAGCCGCUGAAUUCUCCGCAGACUUGCCUCAUCCUUAUCUUUUCGUGGGCCCACAGGUUGAUUGUGUAUGCAUGGCACUGGCUCGGGAUUAUUCACUACAUUUCUUAAACGUGUGAGUAUGUAGGACAGACUUCACAAUUAUCUGCCACUGAGCUGCUUAUAGACACCCAAUAAUUGUAUUACGUGCAGGUUUACGUUUUAGUCAAUUUGCCAACUUAAUUUAAGUGAGAACAUUCUCACAAUUCGAUUUCCCAUUUUUACACCUACAUGUACCAUACUAUGUAAAUGUGAGGGAUUAUUAGCCUGUCAUCACGAUCAAUUUUCACAACAGUCUAAAUGAGGUGUAAAUAUUGUUAAACAACAUGACACUUUAAAAGGCAAUGCGAUUGCUUUUAUUUUGCUGUACAUAUCAGUCAUCGGCAAAUUAUUAUUAUUAUGACGAUUAUUAAGGGCUGUCGGCAACACGUGCAUUACACAUGCCGUAUCUUUCAUGGAGCAAGGCUUGAAAUGAUAUUUUUUGCAUUUGACUGUGCGGAAAAACUUUAUGCGUAAAAUGAAAAUAACUAUUUCGUUCACUGUCCCUGCAGCCUCGGUUACUCGCCUACAAGGUGUCCUAAGAAUUCGCAAUAGUUCAGAUAUUAACCAUCACUUGUUUGUUUUCCUUCCCCCGCGCUAAUUAAUGUAAUUAAUAUGAGGGGGAGUAGUUGGAUCUAUGACCCGCGCUCUGACCGAGCGGAACCGGAAAGAAUCGCAUUAACGCGCGAGACUGAAGAAUAAAGGGACGAUUAGAACAAUAAGUAAACAUGUAAACACAGGAGGAGAGGCUCCGUGUCUCUGUGGGACUUUUGACUUUCAGCAGACCGUUUAAAUUUAAUGCAAACUACAAGGAAAGACAAAGGUUUUGAGGCGGUAUGAGCGCAUGUGUGAAGAGGAGCGCCGGUUCAAUAAAGAAUUAAGUCUGCAUGACCACUGUUUGUUGUGUCGUAAACGGAAAAAGCAAAGACAAAUGUGGGUUAUAGGGACCCAGAAAUAUCCCGAGUUAUCGUCGACAAAGUCCUUGUGAAUGUCAAAUCUCAAAUGUUUAUUAAUUUAGGUUCUUGGGGAUGUUUCACGUGUAAAUUCUUAUUGGGCACUCGCUUCGAAGGCAGGUGCUUCAAAAUGAACCCUAAGUUUCAAUUAGUUCUUAUUGUUAAGUAAAAUAACUUACUUAAGGUCUUCUUAAGUUUUUAUUGUUUAAACCCCCUUCUCCAACAUUAUUUCCCUUUGAUCAGUGCUUUAAAUUUCUGUCCUGUAUUCAAUCACUACAGAUAAAUAUAAUUAAAAAAAAAUUUGUUCAGCCUUUCUGUUUUUUCCCUUUUUUAUUAAAUGAGAGCGACCAGUUAUCGUUCACCCUUUUAUUGAAAAAAAUGUGGCCAUAUAUCCUGUAUUGCUUCACUCACACAUUUUGUCCUUAUAUUGUUUGCUGCUUUGCCAUUCA